rnacentral:rRNA from 1 species
AUGCUGUCUAUGUCCACUACUCCAUCCCUUCCAUUUAUAAUUAAGUUCCCUCGGCGUGGAUGGUGGAGAAAAUCUAGCCAAAAUCAAAAUUCAUAUAAAAUUCAUAUAGAGAUUCCGAUGAAUAAAGGCGUGCUGCCGGCCACAAGCUUCUUGCCAGCUACGUACUGUUCAUGGAGCAUGCUGCCUUCAAGCUCUAGGCCGGGUCAAACAUUUAGCCGGAUUAUAACCAUGGGAAAUAUCCCCAACAUCGCGCUUCCAUCAGAACUCCUGCUCGGCCUGCACAUACUCCGGAUGCUCACGUGCGAACCUCGCCAUCACCGCCUCGUCGCUCUUGCCGGCGUGGCGCGGUGCAGCAGCGGGGUGGAGCGGCGUGGGACGGUCCCAGGCCGGUCUCUGCUCUGCUGCCACGCCAUGAUCGGAGACAUCUUCCGGUACAUCGCGGGCGAGGAUGAGGAGGAACAUGCCGAUGAGCUUCCCGACGAGGAGCCGGCGUUUUUGCCGGUUGAACAACCUCACCAUGCGCCUGCAUGCACGGUUCUUCCUCCACAGGUAGUACCAGGAGGACCUGCACCUGUUCGUGCCUUGAUGAGGUCGUUCAACCAGCAAAACGGCGGCCGUCGUUGGUGA